GAACGAGCUACUCUGGGGCAUUAGUUCCGUGAGAGAGUAGGAAGCGGAUGUUGGCUGGUCUCUAGUAGUGGAGAAAUGAGACGGUACUGGGAGCUAAGAAGUUGGAUCACAGGAAGACUGAACAAGAGCCGAGUCGGUGGUAAAGACGCUUCCUCAAAUGACCAUGGGAAUGUCUCUCUUGACAUAAAACUGAAGUCCAUGUGUCUUUGGGACACAAUGACAGACGGCAUCGUGACCUAAACAGAUAAAGACCCACCAGAACGAGUCUGUGAAGGACGUCCUUGUUCUCACAGCAGAGCGUGGGGUCUGGGAGUGCACGGAAGGGGCGAGACUCGCAGGAGAGGAGCACGGGGCACUGAACCUGCUCAUGGGCCGGAAAGACCACUGGUGCUUUGAAGAAGAAUUCGAAGAUCUCUGUCCGAUUCAGCCUAAACCGCAUGUGAUGACAUGGGCAGCCUUCAGUGACAGGUUGCCUUAGUUUCGACCUCAGUUCGGGCUCCACAGUGAUAAAGUCAAGACAAAAAAAUCCAUAUCCAGCUCUGGUCAGUGUCACAUAAGUGACAGCUUUGAUUCUAGGGAUAGAACAACACGUGAGAAAAAUAUGCUGCCUGCCCUAUUAAAAGUGUGUGUGUGUGUGUGUGUGUGUGUGUAAUAUACAUACACAUAUACAUAUCUAUAAAUUUUGAGAUAUGAUUUCUUGAGCUGGAU